AGAGCAGCCCAGAACGGAGGCCGACACGGUAACAAGUGCUUUGCAUCAGCCUCAUAUUCAUGCCACAGUGAGCUCAAAGGCAGAGAAAAUUUCAUAUAACCGGAAGAGUUCAUAAUAUGCCUUUAUUCUUUAACUUAUAAACAGCAUUUAAUUUGUCCUUCAAAAGUUAAUUAUAAUUGGUGACAGCUUUUCUCAGAUACAUCCCUCAUGUCCAAGAGAGGGGAAGAAUUUAGCCCUUGAUUUAAAAAAA